GGCUCUUUAGCUCAGUUGGUAGAGCAGCGGCCUGAAGAGCCGCGUGUCCCCAGUUCAAGUCUGGGAGGAGCCACCA
rnacentral:tRNA from 1 species